UGGGGAAUCUUGCGCAAUGGGCGAAAGCCUGACGCAGCGACGCCGCGUGCGGGAGGACGGCCUUCGGGUYGUAAACCGCUGUUGCCCGGGACGAAWNSCYCUUUCGAGGGSRUUGACGGUACCGGGUGAGGAAGCACCGGCUAACUCCGUGCCAGCAGCCGCGGUAAUACGGAGGGUGCGAGCGUUGUCCGGAAUCACUGGGCGUAAAGGGCGCGUAGGCGGCGCGASRAGKCGGSGGUGAAAGUCCGGGGCUCAACCCCGGAUCGGCCKUSGMGACUSUCGCGCUSGAGCACAGUAGAGGCGGGUGGAAUUCCGGGUGUAGCGGUGGAAUGCGUAGAGAUCCGGAAGAACACCGGUGGCGAAGGCGGCCCGCUGGGCUGUGGCUGACGCUGAGGCGCGACAGCGUGGGGAGCAAACAGGAUUAGAUACCCUGGUAGUCCACGCCGUAAACGAUGGGCACUAGGUGCCUGGGGGAGCGACCCCCUGGGUGCCGGCGCUAACGCAUUAAGUGCCCCGCCUGGGGAGUACGGCCGCAAGGCUG
rnacentral:rRNA from 1 species